rnacentral:rRNA from 1 species
GGAUCCAGACUUUGAUUAUGGCUCAGGAUGAACGCUAGCUACAGGCUUAACACAUGCAAGUCGAGGGGCAGCGGGAUUGAAGCUUGCUUCAAUUGCCGGCGACCGGCGCACGGGUGAGUAACGCGUAUCCAAUCUUCCGUACACUCAGGGAUAGCCUUUCGAAAGAAAGAUUAAUACCUGAUAGUAUCUUAAGCACACAUGUAAUUAAGAUUAAAGAUUUAUCGGUGUACGAUGGGGAUGCGUUCCAUUAGGUAGUAGGCGGGGUAACGGCCCACCUAGCCAACGAUGGAUAGGGGUUCUGAGAGGAAGGUCCCCCACAUUGGAACUGAGACACGGUCCAAACUCCUACGGGAGGCAGCAGUGAGGAAUAUUGGUCAAUGGACGAGAGUCUGAACCAGCCAAGUAGCGUGAAGGAUGAAGGUCCUACGGAUUGUAAACUUCUUUUAUAAGGGAAUAAACCCUCCCACGUGUGGGAGCUUGUAUGUACCUUAUGAAUAAGCAUCGGCUAACUCCGUGCCAGCAGCCGCGGUAAUACGGAGGAUGCGAGCGUUAUCCGGAUUUAUUGGGUUUAAAGGGAGCGCAGACGGGUCGUUAAGUCAGCUGUGAAAGUUUGGGGCUCAACCUUAAAAUUGCAGUUGAUACUGGCGUCCUUGAGUGCGGUUGAGGUGUGCGGAAUUCGUGGUGUAGCGGUGAAAUGCUUAGAUAUCACGAAGAACUCCGAUUGCGAAGGCAGCACACUAAUCCGUAACUGACGUUCAUGCUCGAAAGUGUGGGUAUCAAACAGGAUUAGAUACCCUGGUAGUCCACACGGUAAACGAUGGAUACUCGCUGUUGGCGAUAUACUGUCAGCGGCUUAGCGAAAGCGUUAAGUAUCCCACCUGGGGAGUACGCCGGCAACGGUGCAACUCAAAUGAAUUGACGG